rnacentral:rRNA from 1 species
AUACGGAGGAUGCGAGCGUUAUCCGGAUUUAUUGGGUUUAAAGGGUGCGUAGGCUGUGCGUUAAGUCAGGGGUGAAGUGCCGUCGCUCAACGACGGAGCUGCCCUUGAUACUGGCGUGCUGGAGUACGGAUGCCGUUGGAGGAAUGAGUGGUGUAGCGGUGAAAUGCUUAGAUAUCACUCAGAACACCGAUUGCGAAGGUAUCUGACGAAUCCGUCACUGACGCUGAGGCACGAAAGCGUGGGGAUAGAACAGGAUUAGAUACCCUGGUAUUCCACGCCGUAAACGAUGAUGACUAACCGUCGGCGAUAGACAGCCGGUGGCCAAGCGAAAGCGAUAAGUCAUCCACCUGGGGAGUACGUCGGCAACGAUGAAACUCAAAUGAAUUGACGGGG